GGUUAAGCGACUAAGCGUACACGGUGGAUGCCCUGGCAGUCAGAGGCGAUGAAGGACGUGCUAAUCUGCGAAAAGCGUCGGUAAGGUGAUAUGAACCGUUACAGCCGGCGAUGUCCGAAUGGGGAAACCCAGUGCAAUUCGUUGCACUAUCGUUAACUGAAUACAUAGGUUAACGAGGCGAACCGGGGGAACUGAAACAUCUAAGUACCCCGAGGAAAAGAAAUCAACCGAGAUUCCCCCAGUAGCGGCGAGCGAACGGGGAGCAGCCCAGAGUCUGAAUCAGCUUGUGUGUUAGUGGAACGGUCUGGAAAGUCCGACGGUACAGGGUGAUAGUCCCGUACACCAAAAUGCACAGGUUGUGAACUCGAAGAGUAGGGCGGGACACGUGGUAUCCUGUCUGAAUAUGGGGGGACCAUCCUCCAAGGCUAAAUACUCCUGACUGACCGAUAGUGAACCAGUACCGUGAGGGAAAGGCGAAAAGAACCCCGGCGAGGGGAGUGAAAAAGAACCUGAAACCGUGUACGUACAAGCAGUGGGAGCACCUUUAUGGUGUGACUGCGUACCUUUUGUAUAAUGGGUCAGCGACUUAUAUUCUGUAGCAAGGUUAACCGUAUAGGGGAGCCGCAGGGAAACCGAGUCUUAACUGGGCGUUAAGUUGCAGGGUAUAGACCCGAAACCCGGUGAUCUAGCCAUGGGCAGGUUGAAGGUUGGGUAACACUAACUGGAGGACCGAACCGACUAAUGUUGAAAAAUUAGCGGAUGACUUGUGGCUGGGGGUGAAAGGCCAAUCAAACCGGGAGAUAGCUGGUUCUCCCCGAAAGCUAUUUAGGUAGCGCCUCGUGAACUCAUCUUCGGGGGUAGAGCACUGUUUCGGCUAGGGGGUCAUCCCGACUUACCAACCCGAUGCAAACUACGAAUACCGAAGAAUGUUAUCACGGGAGACACACGGCGGGUGCUAACGUCCGUCGUGAAGAGGGAAACAACCCAGACCGCCAGCUAAGGUCCCAAAGUCACAGUUAAGUGGGAAACGAUGUGGGAAGGCACAGACAGCCAGGAUGUUGGCUUAGAAGCAGCCAUCAUUUAAAGAAAGCGUAAUAGCUCACUGGUCGAGUCGGCCUGCGCGGAAGAUGUAACGGGGCUAAACUGUGCACCGAAGCUGCGGCAGCGACACUAUGUGUUGUUGGGUAGGGGAGCGUUCUGUAAGCCUGCGAAGGUGGCCUGUGAGGGUUGCUGGAGGUAUCAGAAGUGCGAAUGCUGACAUAAGUAACGAUAAUGCGGGUGAAAAGCCCGCACGCCGGAAGACCAAGGGUUCCUGUCCAACGUUAAUCGGGGCAGGGUGAGUCGACCCCUAAGGCGAGGCCGAAAGGCGUAGUCGAUGGGAAACAGGUUAAUAUUCCUGUACUUGGUGUUACUGCGAAGGGGGGACGGAGAAGGCUAUGUUAGCCGGGCGACGGUUGUCCCGGUUUAAGCAUGUAGGCGGAGGUUCCAGGUAAAUCCGGUACCUUUUAACGCUGAGGUGUGAUGACGAGGCACUACGGUGCUGAAGUAACAAAUGCCCUGCUUCCAGGAAAAGCCUCUAAGCAUCAGGUAACAUUGAAUCGUACCCCAAACCGACACAGGUGGUCAGGUAGAGAAUACCAAGGCGCUUGAGAGAACUCGGGUGAAGGAACUAGGCAAAAUGGUGCCGUAACUUCGGGAGAAGGCACGCUGAUAUGUAGGUGAAGUCCCUGCGGAUGGAGCUGAAAUCAGUCGAAGAUACCAGCUGGCUGCAACUGUUUAUUAAAAACACAGCACUGUGCAAACACGAAAGUGGACGUAUACGGUGUGACGCCUGCCCGGUGCCGGAAGGUUAAUUGAUGGGGUUAUCCGUAAGGAGAAGCUCUUGAUCGAAGCCCCGGUAAACGGCGGCCGUAACUAUAACGGUCCUAAGGUAGCGAAAUUCCUUGUCGGGUAAGUUCCGACCUGCACGAAUGGCGUAAUGAUGGCCAGGCUGUCUCCACCCGAGACUCAGUGAAAUUGAACUCGCUGUGAAGAUGCAGUGUACCCGCGGCAAGACGGAAAGACCCCGUGAACCUUUACUAUAGCUUGACACUGAACAUUGAGCCUUGAUGUGUAGGAUAGGUGGGAGGCUUUGAAGCGUGGACGCCAGUCUGCGUGGAGCCAACCUUGAAAUACCACCCUUUAAUGUUUGAUGUUCUAACGUUGGCCCCUGAUCGGGGUUGCGGACAGUGUCUGGUGGGUAGUUUGACUGGGGCGGUCUCCUCCCAAAGAGUAACGGAGGAGCACGAAGGUUAGCUAAUCCUGGUCGGACAUCAGGAGGUUAGUGCAAUGGCAUAAGCUAGCUUGACUGCGAGCGUGACGGCGCGAGCAGGUGCGAAAGCAGGUCAUAGUGAUCCGGUGGUUCUGAAUGGAAGGGCCAUCGCUCAACGGAUAAAAGGUACUCCGGGGAUAACAGGCUGAUACCGCCCAAGAGUUCAUAUCGACGGCGGUGUUUGGCACCUCGAUGUCGGCUCAUCACAUCCUGGGGCUGAAGUAGGUCCCAAGGGUAUGGCUGUUCGCCAUUUAAAGUGGUACGCGAGCUGGGUUUAGAACGUCGUGAGACAGUUCGGUCCCUAUCUGCCGUGGGCGCUGGAGAAUUGAGGGGGGCUGCUCCUAGUACGAGAGGACCGGAGUGGACGCAUCACUGGUGUUCGGGUUGUCAUGCCAAUGGCAUUGCCCGGUAGCUAAAUGCGGAAGAGAUAAGUGCUGAAAGCAUCUAAGCACGAAACUUGCCCCGAGAUGAGUUCUCCCUGACUCCUUGAGAGUCCUGAAGGAACGUUAAAGACGAUGACGUUGAUAGGUCGGGUGUGUAAGCGUAGCGAUACGUUGAGCUAACCGAUACUAAUGAACCGUGAGGCUUAACCUU
rnacentral:rRNA from 1 species